GCACUGCUGAGGAGUCCCAUAAUAGGACGAAACAGCCGUCCUGUGC
rnacentral:hammerhead_ribozyme from 1 species